UAACAAGAGUUUCCUCCAACCCCUGUGACAUACCAAUUGUUGCCUCGGCGGAUCAGCCCGCUCCCGGUAAAACGGGACGGCCCGCCAGAGGACCCCUAAACUCUGUUUCUAUAUGUAACUUCUGAGUAAAACCAUAAAUAAAUCAAAACUUUCAACAACGGAUCUCUUGGUUCUGGCAUCGAUGAAGAACGCAGCAAAAUGCGAUAAGUAAUGUGAAUUGCAGAAUUCAGUGAAUCAUCGAAUCUUUGAACGCACAUUGCGCCCGCCAGUAUUCUGGCGGGCAUGCCUGUUCGAGCGUCAUUUCAACCCUCAAGCCCCCGGGUUUGGUGUUGGGGAUCGGCGAGCCCUUGCGGCAAGCCGGCCCCGAAAUCUAGUGGCGGUCUCGCUGCAGCUUCCAUUGCGUAGUAGUAAAACCCUCGCAACUGGUACGCGGCGCGGCCAAGCCGUUAAACCCCCAACUUCUGAAUGUUGACCUCGGAUCAGGUAGGAAUACCCGCUGAACUUAAGCAUAUCAAUAAGGCGGAGGAAUGGCGGGGC
rnacentral:rRNA from 1 species